CUGAGUGCACAGUUGUUGUCCAGGGACUGGGUCUGUCUGCGGCGGCAGUGGGCAGCUCAGUUAUAGAACCGCCGCCACGUGCAGAAAACAGGUGCAUCAAAGGACACCAGGGGAAGGGGAAGUGACAGAAAUGACAGGGAAAUCACCAGAAAGAGGGAGCAGCCUGGAUGCUCUGCCUGUGAGGACGGUCGUCACAUGUGGAUCGUGACACAGCAAUCGUAUAUCAUACGCCCUCUCUCUCUCUCUCUCUCUCUCUGUCUUUCCCUCUCUCUCACACAUGCACCAGCUGACGCACCGACACGCUCCACAGCGGCAAAUGGGAAUUCCAGCCCUGGACAGCUCUGCUCGCCCCAUCAGGAGAGAGCUGACCAAAAGCUGCAGCCAGUUUUACGAGUGCUUUGGUCCUGAGCAGAACAGCAGUAAAGUGGAACGAGGACAAGACAAGAGAACCAGAUUCUUUACAAGCCUCCAUGUUCUGCUUCUGCUGAGACAGAGACAACAGAAAGCGGCCACUCAAACCACAUCAACAAAACAUUGCAUGCUGAGAGGAGACAUCAGCAGGGAGAGUGAUUCACGAGUCACAUGCUAGUCAACGUGGCGGUUGAAGUUCGACAACUAAUUUCUUGAAUGCUUGUACAACUAGAAGAUGUUAAUGGCCUCUUCUACAGCAUGUAGAUCAAUUAUCUAUUAAAUCCAAUAAAGGCAAUGAAACUAUCAUGUG